GGCGAACGCUGGCGGCGUGCUUAACACAUGCAAGUCGAACGGAAAGGCCCUGCUUUUGUGGGGUGCUCGAGUGGCGAACGGGUGAGUAACACGUGAGUAACCUGCCCUUGACUUUGGGAUAACUUCAGGAAACUGGGGCUAAUACCGGAUAGGAGCUCCUGCUGCAUGGUGGGGGUUGGAAAGUUUCGGCGGUUGGGGAUGGACUCGCGGCUUAUCAGCUUGUUGGUGGGGUAGUGGCUUACCAAGGCUUUGACGGGUAGCCGGCCUGGGAGGGUGACCGGCCACAUUGGGACUGGGAUACGGCCCAGACUCCUACGGGAGGCAGCAGUGGGGAAUAUUGCACAAUGGGCGGAAGCCUGAUGCAGCAACGCCGCGUGCGGGAUGACGGCCUUCGGGUUGUAAACCGCUUUCGCCUGUGACGAAGCGUGAGUGACGGUAAUGGGUAAAGAAGCACCGGCUAACUACGUG
rnacentral:rRNA from 1 species